rnacentral:snRNA from 1 species
AGGUCUGUGCAUGGCUACAACAUCUGUCACCCCACUGAUCCAUUGAUCCAUCUGACUAGACAGUGUCCCCUCCCUCCCUCACUGGUCCAUGUGUGUCCUUCCCAAAGCUGUAAAGCUGGAAGGAUAGAGGAGGACCAGUCUUUGGUCAAGGGUACAUGAGUAGCUUACACUCCCCUGCUAGAACCUCCGAACAAGCUCAAGGCCAUUUAAAUUCUUAUACACAGGCCUUUCUAGAGGAGAACAUUUUUUCCAGAUGCGAUGUUUAAAAGACAAGCAGUUC